GAGUUUAGCUCCAACCCUAAUUAAGCAGACCUGAGCAGCUGAUCAAGGAUCAGCAGAGACUCUGCAGAACAUUGGUCCUCCAGCCCAGGACUGGACACCAGUGUUAGUGUCUGUCUCAGAAGCUGAAGAAAAGAGGCCACACCUCAGAGGAAAUAAGUGCCUCCUAAGUGUACGGAAACACCUGGCUGAGAAGAUCAGUGACAUAAACCAGAUAAAACUGUCAGUGGUCUAAGACAGCUACAAUGAAGCCACAAACACAGUUCAUAGUUCCUGUAUUUCUAUAAUGCAUUAAUUAAUAACAAUAAUUAAAAAAAAAGUAAUGUAAAGGUUUUGUGUUAAUUCCAGCUAUGUUGAGUAUUCUGUGAAUAAUUUUGAUUUUAGGUGCAUAUUCUUAAUUCUGUGCAAAACAACCUGAACUGUUAGCUAUUGAAAUGUUGGUGUGUAGUUUAAAUAAAUAAAAAUGAUAUUCUUGACAAAACC